CCUACGGGUGGCAGCAGUGAGGAAUAUUGGUCAAUGGACGAGAGUCUGAACCAGCCAAGUAGCGUGAAGGAUGACUGCCCUAUGGGUUGUAAACUUCUUUUAUAUGGGAAUAAAAUGUUCCACGUGUGGGAUUUUGUAUGUACCAUAUGAAUAAGGAUCGGCGAACUCCGUGCCAGCAGCCGCGGUAAUACGGAGGAUCCGAGCGUUAUCCGGAUUUAUUGGGUUUAAAGGGAGCGUAGGUGGAUUGUUAAGUCAGUUGUGAAAGUUUGCGGCUCAACCGUAAAAUUGCAGUUGAAACUGGCAGUCUUGAGUACAGUAGAGGUGGGCGGAAUUCGUGGUGUAGCGGUGAAAUGCUUAGAUAUCACGAAGAACUCCGAUUGCGAAGGCAGUUCACUGGACUGCAACUGACACUGAGGCUCGAAAGUGUGGGUAUCAAACAGGAUUAGAUACCCGAGUAGUC
rnacentral:rRNA from 1 species